GACGAACGCUAGCGGCGGGCUUAAUACAUGCAAGUCAAAUCUUAGCAAUAGGGUUGGCGCACGGGUGCGUAACACGUAUGCAACCUAUCCCUCAGUGGAGGAUAUACUUGGGAAACUGAGUGCAAUACUUCAUAUACUCUUAAUAACACCUGUUAUAGAGAGGAAAAGCGAUGCUGAGGGUUGGGCAUGCGUCUGAUUAGCUAGUUGGCGGGGUAACGGCCCACCAAGGCGACGAUCAGUAACUGGUCUGAGAGGAUGAUCAGUCACACUGGCACUGAGACACGGGCCAGACUCCUACGGGAGGCAGCAGUAGGGAAUAUUGGUCAAUGGACGCAAGUCUGAACCAGCCACGCCGCGUGGAGGAAGAAGGUUCUCUGGAUCGUAAACUCCUUUUAUAUGGGAAUAAAGACGGGCUAUACGCCUGAGCUGAAUGUACCAUAGGAAUAAGCCACGGCUAACUACGUG
rnacentral:rRNA from 1 species